AGGAUGUGGCCAUGGAAGUUGGAAUCCACUAAGGAGUGUGUAACAACUCACCU
rnacentral:ncRNA from 1 species